ACUUUUCUAUGAAAUAACGAACGCUUGUAAAGAAAAUAAUCAUUCAUCGCUACUCGCUUGUUACUUACUCCUAGCUUUUAAAGUUGCCUAAAAUAAAUUUGCAUUGAUAAGAAUGAUAUCAUAGCACGGGGCAUCGAUCGCCUCAAGGUAGCCCCUACACAUCUCACCGAUAAUAUCAUGCGAUUCCGACAAUUGCCGGCUAAGUAGGUGCAAAUAAUGCAAUGGAUCGAAAAAACGCCGCAAUGUCACGCAAAUCGCAUGCAAUUAUCGGUGAGGUGACGAUGCAGGGCACAGGGUCAAGCGAGGGGGUAGGGUAAGCAUGGUGGGGGAGGGGUAUGGACAGUGAGGGGAGGAGACAAGGUCAGCCCGUGCUUUUAGUUCGUUCUUUAGCCGCCAGUGGCGCUAGUAUAUGAGUCAUUAUUUCACUGAAGCAACUCUCAACUCAGUUUAUAUAUAUAAAGUCCUGCGUGGAAGGAUGACCUGCCUAAACUUCAUUUUUAAAACGUUCUUCGACGCUCGCUCUGUUUAUUUUUACUACAACAUACACAAAACUUUAAGACAUUUUAAACGGAAACAAAUUAAGUGAAUAACCGUGCCAUGCAAUGGAAAGUGAAAAUGAUCCCUGGUAACAGGCGCGGCACACACAUCAAAUUAAUUUUUGCCAUUACAAGCAUGAAUUGCGGUGAAAUCAUCGAGAUGGACCCUGUGCGUCUGUGGAGUUGGGCUGAAAUUCGCUUUAAAUUCACUAUGGAUCUAAACAAUAGCUGUUUUUUGCAACCUAGUAUACAAUACAAAAAAGGCAACGGUGGAAAAGAUUACAUCGCAAUAACCAUACGUUCUCCAGGAUUUAAAAAACAAAGCCUUUGCGAUGACGAUUGGUCAGAGUAUAUUAAAAUGGGACCUCCACAAGACACAAAGACUUGCAAAUAUUGCGUAUUUCCGCAUUCACAUCCCUUCUUACGCAUUUUCAAAGUAAAUGUAAACGUGACAGAUUUAACUCCCAAGCCUUUAUCAGUGAACAAAUGGCUUUAUAACGAUUCUACAUUCAUGGAUUUUGAGCUGAAAGGGGAUGAUGGUUCAGUGUUUCUCCAUAAAGCGAUUCUGGUCACUCACAGCAGUGUUUUCCGUGCAAUGCUUAAACGAGAGUGGAAAGAAACGGCAGAAAACAGUAUGUUUAUAGAAGGAAUCACUAAACAGACCCUUCAAUACCUAAAGGACUACAUGUACUUAGGAACUCUGCCUGAUGAUGUAUUGCAGUUGCAAUCACUACUUUCACUAGCUGCGAUGUACAUGAUUGAUAACUUGAUAUUUAGGUGCAUUGCUAAAAUUGUAGAUUCAGUCACUCCUAAGAACUUUGAGCAGGUUUUUGAAUUUGCUAGCCGAAGCAAUGUGCCAGAUUUAGUAAAAUCGUUAGUGAUUGCUCUGCCGAAUGAAACUGUUGAUGGUAUCAUGAUGAAAGCUUAUAGCCGAAGCCGAAUGUGAAGUUCUAUUAAUUAUAAAGGAAAUUAUAUUAUUAUAGCAUUC